CCCCCUGUAGCUCAGCUGGUUAGAGCAGGGGACUCAUAAUCCCUUGGUCGCCGGUUCAAGUCCGGCCGGGGGGAC
rnacentral:tRNA from 1 species